rnacentral:lncRNA from 1 species
UUUUUUUUUCUCUCUUUUCUCGAUUCCAUCGAUACUCAUUCAUCUUUUUCAUCUUCCCUCUUCACUCGUUUCUAUCGAUCCAAAGAUCCGUCCUCUCUCUUCUUCUUCGUGAGAAAUUCGCAGUGAAAUCGAGAAAUCCGCCGUGAGAAAUCCGCCGUGAGAACUCCGCCGUGUCUUCUCUUUGUAAGAUUUCAUUUGUUUGAUCCCUAAUUUUGUUUUAUUGUGUUGGGUUUAAUUAGGAUUUGAUUUCUGUGAGGGUUUGAUAUGUAAUUCUCUUUGAUUUUGUUUGAAACAAAUGCAUUUUGAAUGGAAUUUCGAUUACAAUUAGGAUUUUUUAUGAUUACAGUUCGGAUUUUAAGAUUACUAAUAGGAUUUGAAUUACAAUUCGGGUUUGAAAUUCGGACGACAUGUAGCUACUUUUUCUUGUUUUUAUUUGGAGAUAUUGAGUGAAAGUUGUAACUUUGUUUGUAAACUCUUCUUAAAAUGAUUAAUUUCUCUUGGUCAAUUUUGGAAGAAAUCUGGUUUCAAGUAAGUUAAUAAGGAGUGGAUUGCAGACAUAGAUGAAAUUUUUUGUACGUAUAUAUUAGCCUAUAACAUUUGUUUCUCUAUUACGAGAGGAGGAAAAGGAAAAGGAGACUGAGACUGAGACUGAGAAGGAGAAGGAGAAGGAGAAAGAGAAGGAUAAGGAGAAGAAGAAGCAGAAGAAGACUUGGUGUGUUCAGAUGUGUUUUGGUUUCUAAUGUUAUGUAUGAUUCUAAGUGUUUAGGUACAACUGGUACACUUAUGUACAACUAUGUAUCUGGGUUUGUAUGAAUCUAAGUUUUUUUGACAGAAAAAUCACCAAAAAACUAUGAGUCAAAGUGUUUUGAUCAAAAAAUUCACAACAACACUAUGAAUCUACUAAGUAU